UGCAUCGAGCGACCGUGGUACUUCUUCGAAGUUGCGGCUUUGGACGGUGUUUUGCAUUUACGACUCGAUUAGAAGCGGCGUUCUCGGGAAACAGUGAGGUGAUUUUGCUGUCAUGCUUCGACGACACGAUGGCCCUAUCCGCUUUCCAAACUAAACCGCAUUCCGCAUUUUUAUUUCACUUCGUCCUCGUGCCCACUAAAGCGGCUGCCAUUGAACAUGAUUCACCAAUUUCGGCGACGGAUAGUGGCCCACAACAAAGCCUCAAGCAAACACGUCUCGCGGUACGCUCUGUGUACUUCGUAGACAAAUGCAAAUGGUGCCCGCAAGCGAAGAGACCCCAACUGAGGCAUGCUACCUAGCGUCGUCUUUCCUUCUUCCUAUUUCCCAUGUGGGUUCUACACGUUUUCAACAACCCCCGACACGAUGAGCAAGAGAGCAGCAGUGGCGAUAAAGUCGAAGCGAGAAG